AACGCAAUCUAGGCAUCGGGAUCUCUCCGACGCGCGCCCAAAUGCCGCGCACCCACGCCGGCCACCACCAGCACGCCCUGCCCCGCCGCCGCCGCCUCCUUCCGGCCGCCGCGGCGGCGGCCGCACUCGUACUCCUCGCGCUCAUCAUCCUCCUACCCACCGCGCCGCCAGGGGGACCCGCCUCCCUCCUCCGCGCGGCCAUCGCCGCGCACCCGUCCCCCACCUCCUACGCGCACCCGUGCGCCGACCACCUCUCACUCUCGCUCCACCGCCUCCGCGCCGCCCUCUCCUCCCUCGAGUCCGGCGACCUACCGGGGGCGCUCCACCUCGCGUCCGCCUCGCUCCAGUACCAGUACGACUGCUCCCACCUGCUGUCCCUCCCCGCUUUCCCCUCCUACCCACUCACCUCCCGCUUCCUCAAUUCCCUCACCCCGCAAGCUCUAACCGCGGACCCCAAACCCUCCUCCUCCCACUCCACCGCCGCGGCCUUCCCGGCGCGGAUCCGUCCGGCAGCGACCGUCUGCAAGCCAAGUCCAGCAGAGACGCCGUGCGACUUCUCCAAUGUGCAAGAUGCUGUCAAUGCGGCACCGAAUUACACCGACGGCCACUUCGUCAUCGCCGUCGCUGCAGGUAUAUACAUGGAAACCGUCGUAAUCCCCUACGAAAAGACCAACAUUCUGCUAGUGGGCGAGGGAAUGGGGGCUACCGUGAUCACCGCCUCACGGAGCGUCGGGAUCGAAGGGCUUGGCACCUACGACACCGCCACCGUGGCUGUUACCGGCGACGGGUUCCGAGCGAGAGAUAUCACAUUUGAGAAUACUGCAGGGGCAGGAGCUCAUCAGGCGGUUGCAUUCCGGUCGGACAGCGACCGGUCGGUGCUGGAGAGCGUGGAGCUCCGAGGGCACCAGGACACGCUGUACGCUCGCACAAUGCGGCAUCUGUAUCGGCGGUGCCAUAUCACCGGAACUGUGGAUUUUGUAUUUGGGAAUGCAGCAGCUAUGUUUGAGGAGUGUAUGAUUAACACGGUGCCGCGGGCAGAGGGAACCUGGAAGACUGCACGCAAUGUGGUGGCGGCGAACGGGAGGAUCGAUCCAGGGCAGACGACGGGGUUCGUGUUUCGGAACUGCACGGUGGAUGGCGACCGGGAUUUCGUUGCGCUGCACCGGUCGAAGCCGCAGUCUUACCGGCUCUAUCUGGGGCGUCCGUGGAAGGAGUAUGCGAGGACGCUGUACGUCAGCUGUUAUCUGGGGAAGGUUGUCAGACCGGAGGGGUGGCUUCCUUGGCGAGGGGAGUUUGCGCUCGGGACGCUGUAUUAUGGGGAGUUUGAUAGUCGAGGGCCUGGUGCAAAUCACACUUCGAGGGUUGGGUGGAGCAGUCAGACGCCGGAGCAGCAUGUCAGAUUCUACUCGGUGGAGAACUUUAUUCAGGGACAUGAAUGGAUUGGAUACCAAAUGUAGGACAACGUUAAUGUUCGGAUUAGUGGUUCUUCAUUUUGGUGGAGCUUCAACAGGUAAAUACAAAAAUAUUCAACCUGAAUCGCAAGUAAGGAAUGCUCCCAAGGAUCUGGAAUCAAGUAUCCAACCCUAUUUAUUGACUUGGUCUGAAAUGUUGUGCAGAUAAUAUGCAAAAGGAGUGUGAAAUGAAUGCUCAUACCCAGGUGGAGUAGACAUUGAAGAUUGAACUGACGAAGAGAAGCUUGAAAAUGAGAGAGAUGAGCAAAGACUGUGCUACCAUAGUGGCGUUGAAGAAAUUUAAGUUAGUUAUUUCUUAGAUGGUGGAGCUGGAGCAGCGAAUGUGAAUAGUGAAUACGCGUCAUGUUCCCUUAGCAAGUGUACUUUUCAGGACUCGGUCGUGCCUGACUGUCUUCUUUGUAUCCCGUAUGUGUUGUAGUCAUUCUGUGAUGU